AUGAACGCUGGCGGCGUGCCUAAUACAUGCAAGUCGAGCGAACAGACGAGGAGCUUGCUCCUCUGACGUUAGCGGCGGACGGGAGAGUAACACGUGGAUAACCUACCUAUAAGACUGGGAUAACUUCGGGAAACCGGAGCUAAUACCGGAUAAUAUAUUGAACCGCAUGGUUCAAUAGUGAAAGACGGUUUUGCUGUCACUUAUAGAUGGAUCCGCGCCGCAUUAGCUAGUUGGUAAGGUAACGGCUUACCAAGGCGACGAUGCGUAGCCGACCUGAGAGGGUGAUCGGCCACACUGGAACUGAGACACGGUCCAGACUCCUACGGGAGGCGGCAGUAGGGAAUCUUCCGCAAUGGGCGAAAGCCUGACGGAGCAACGCCGCGUGAGUGAUGAAGGUCUUCGGAUCGUAAAACUCUGUUAUUAGGGAAGAACAAAUGUGUAAGUAACUAUGCACGUCUUGACGGUACCUAAUCAGAAAGCCACGGCUAACUACGUG
rnacentral:rRNA from 1 species